GAAGGGGAUCGCCCUCAUCGGACGACGACGACUGAUCGGAAACGGCAUCGGGUUCCUAUCGAAGGAGGCGGCAAAGCUCUUCCAGACGGCUGAGCCCACGCCGGAGCAGUAGCCGCCGGAGUUCCCACGAUGAUAGCAGUGAUUAUUCGGAUUCUGGAUCGGAGAACCGGCGUCGGCGAAAGAACGGAGGAGGAGAUCUUCGAGUACAUGGCCAAGAAAGCCCAAAAGAAGGCUGUGAAGGUCGCAAAGAAGCUCAAAGCAAAUGCAGUCUCUGGUUACUCGAAUGAUUCGAAUCCAUUUGAAGACUCCAAUCUGACCGAGAGGUAACUUAUUUUGACACCUCCUUUUUCAAUAAUUAUGUCAUGAUUAAUCGUAGCUAUUCGUUCUUUGUCAAUUUGAUGUUUAGGGUUCCGAUUAUUAUUUAGUUUGUUUUGAUUCGCCUAAUCUCUAGAAAUGAUUGUGAGCAAAAGAAUUUGUAUGACUGCAUUUGCAAAAGAUGUAGUCAGAAACAGAACUGAAAAAUACUAUUUUCGUCAAAAGAAGAUUGUUAGUUGAAAAUGAAUCAGAUCACUUGUCUUCUAAAUUCAUCAGCAUAUCAGCAUCUAUUACAGAAUGAGACUUUUAACUUUUGGGGAUCUGUAGUAUGAUUUUUUAGAAUGCAUUAGCUGAAAUAGGAUGUAAUAGACUGUGUGGCCUUUUUUACUGGGUCGAUCCUGGUUUGGAGUAAACGAGUCAGUAGAAAUUGUGGGAGAUAUAUCACUCUGAUCUGAUCUCUUAAAAUGUAGGAUACCAUGUCUCUCUGAUUUAUUUAAAAGAAAGAAAGUUAUUAUGCUCAACAUUAUCAUUGUUGUCAAGGUUAUCAAGCUCUAUAUUGCACAUGAACACAAGGGCUGGUUAAUUUGUGAUCUUCGUCUGUCCCAUCUAGAAAUAAAUCCCUGAAUUGUGAUAAAAUAAGUUACUAUUUUCUUUCUAGUCGCACGAUAAAACAGUGGGAAACAUAACGAAAGAGGAACUAGAUUGAUCAUUAAUCCACCAAAAACAAUGUGAGCAUCCUAAUUUAGAUACUUGAAUGUGAAUCACUAAUAACAGUAGCUACAUGCUUUCUAUGUUUCGAGCUUCAUUUGCUUUGUCUAAGUCAUUCAAAUAAGCUUUCCACUUGACCCAAAUUUGACAAAACAUGUAAUCUUUCUUGGAUCUCCUUUUAGCCAACAUUCUGUACUUUCAAAAUGCAUUCUUUGAGAGCUGCUUGUCUUGACUUCUUCUUAGUUUUGCAAUUGUCUAAUCGAUGCUCGAUCAUCGACAACUUGUGAACAUUUUCUUAGCUACACACGAGUCGCCAAUAGGUUAUGGAAAAACCCCUAAAUUGGAAGUAGUAACUUGACAUUGGCAACAUGUUAAGCGAAAGUCAUCAAACAUUUCACACAACCAGCAAAGAUUGUCACAUGAUCACUGGCAAACAAAAAGUAGGGGUAAAAAACAUAGAUAAAUAUAAUGUGUAGCUGAAAGAAUUGAUAGAAGGCAGAAAAAAAGAAAGCAAAAGGGAAGAAGAGAGAGGACUGUUUUAGGACAAGUAGAGGAGAAUGUGGAAAACAAAAGAAGAGACAUGCCUCUUUGAGAUAGUGACAGUUGCCAAGGGUUAGUGGUAGUAUUGGAAUAGAGUUGUGGAAGAGGAUUCCCUGAACGUUCAUAGGAAAAGAUUUUUUCACAUCACCUUUGUAUUGAAAAGAAAUCCAUACUUAGAAAGAAAUGAAGAGGAAACUGAAAGUUGUAGGGUCAUCAUAAACUUGCACAUGACUGGAUCAUGAUGGAUUAAUUAGUCUAUCAAUUUCGUUGAAUCCAAACCAUUAGCUAAAAUACUUCAACUGAAGUUGAUAAGAAUAUAUCCAUCAUAUCCUAUUUUCAUUGUGAGAUCAAUCGAGGUGUUAAGUAUACUUUGUUCAUUAACAUUUUGAUAGUUUUAUAUGAAGUAAAAAUAUAGAACAUGAUAUUGCCAAGGUAUUUUUUUUUAUAUAUCAAUGAAGUUCCAAUAAGCAAAAAGUAAGGAUGGUGUGGAAUAAUUUUAUAUAAUCACUGCAUAAUUGUUCAUAUUUUCUUACAGUUUACUUGGAUCAAUCAAAGAAAAUGACAUAAUCCUUUUAUGGCAAUAAUUAGCUAUAUGUUGCAUAAUGUACUACACCAAUUCUGUGCUUGGCAUCCAUAGCCAUGAGAUCUCCAAACUGACUCUAAGCUGGGCUGCUGCUGCUGCUGCUGCUUCACGGAUCAUUCAGCAUAAUGCAACUCCUCUCCUACUUUAGCAGCAGAUUCUUACGAAGGUGUGCUCCAUGAUUUCAAUUUAUAGCAAACACAUGAAGCGUAGUUCUUCAUUGACCCUCAUGUCCAUAUUCCACACAGGAUAUAUCAGAUUCAAAGGCCUUCCUAAUGAAGUGAAGAGUUUCAAGUCUGAGACAGCGUAUGUUCCCUGCACCGUGACAAAUGGAAUUCCACGUGGCAUCCGUUGUCUCGUGGAGAUGCUCCCUUGCUUCCACGGUCGCCAACAUAGCAAUAAAACAAAAACGAGAGGCUGGCAAGUCAAACCUACUUGCAUGUAUAAGGGUGUUCAAAGUCGUGAAGUCCAACGACAUUGUAGCCCUAACAUCUAAGUUUUUCCCAUUGUUAAUGUCAUAAGCAAGGCAAUCAAGCCACAUGACACCAAUUUAUAAGCAUCGGUAAGAUGGGGGAGCUGAGAGAGAUAAGACUGCAGGAAUAAAUGAAGAAGGUCACACAUCUCGGUUCAUGUCACCUCACCACCGCCAUGGUAGAUUGCAAUUAAUUCCCACUGAGAAGGGGCUCGCAACGACACCGCUCCAGGGUUCGGUACUUGGCCUAUCAUGGAGGACUCUACUGUGUGCCAUUUCCCAAGGCAGGGAGGCUUGUGCCUUGUUGACCUUGCACAGAUAUUAUGCAGCCCAAGGGACUGGGGUUCCCAAAUCCUGCUAUUUGAUUCAGGUUGGUGUCGCAUCUUAUGAAGGAGAAAGAAGAGAGCGAUGGCAAGAAUGGUGAUCCUAAUCUGUUUACUUCUUCCGCUGCUGUUUGAGAGUGAUUCAAGGAAGCUAUCGUGGGUGCCUGACAUGCCAGGAAACGCUUCUGCCACUGCCACUCAUGGAGAAGGCACGGAGAAGGAAGAAUGCAAAGGCGUGGACACGGAGAGAUGCACUGCUGGGCGAGGGAUGGAAGCUCACACGGAUUAUAUCUACACCCAAGACUCGGAGCCAUGAUUCCGUGUCCCCAUAUCAUUUCUACUUCUCUGUGUGUUCCCCCCUUUCUUGGUGAACCACCGGACAUCUGUUGGUCUCAUGACACUGGAAUUAACUGUUUAAUACUUUGUUCA